ACGAACGCUGGCGGCGUGCUUAACCCAUGCAAGUCGCACGCUGAAGCUUGGUGCUUGCACUGGGUGGAUGAGUGGCGAACGGGUGAGUAAUACGUGAGUAACCUGCCCUUGACUCUGGGAUAAGCCUGGGAAACUGGGUCUAAUACUGGAUAUGACAUGCCACUGCAUGGUGGUGUGUGGAAAGGGUUUUACUGGUUUUGGAUGGGCUCACGGCCUAUCAGCUUGUUGGUGGGGUAAUGGCCUACCAAGGCGACGACGGGUAGCCGGCCUGAGAGGGUGACCGGCCACACUGGGACUGAGACACGGCCCAGACUCCUACGGGAGGCAGCAGUGGGGAAUAUUGCACAAUGGGCGGAAGCCUGAUGCAGCGACGCCGCGUGAGGGAUGACGGCCUUCGGGUUGUAAACCUCUUUCAGCACGGAAGAAGCGAGAGUGACGGUACGUGCAGAAGAAGCGCCGGCUAACUACGUG
rnacentral:rRNA from 1 species